rnacentral:rRNA from 1 species
UAGCUAGUGGUUCAGGUAACGUCUUAUCAGUGCGACUAUCAGUAUCAGACCUGAGGGAGUGAUCGGCCACAUUGUAUCUUAUACACUGUCCAGACUCCUACGGUGUGCAGAAGUGGGGAAGAUUGCACAAUGGGCGAAAGCCAGAUUCAGCAACGCCGCGUGAGUGAUGAAGGCCUUCGGGUCGUAAAACUCUGUCCUCAAGGAAGAUAAUGACGGUACUGGAGGAGGAAGCCCCGGCUAACUACGUGCCAGCAGCCGCGGGAAUACGUAGGGGGCUAGCGUUAUCCGGAGUUACUGGGCGUAAAGGGUGCGUAGGCGGUCUUUCAAGUCAGGAGUGAAAUGCUACAGCUCAACCGGAGUAAGCUCUUGAAACUGGGAGACGUGAGUGCAGGAGAGGAGAGGGGAAUUCCUAGGGUAACGGUGAAAUGCGUAGCGAUGAGGAGGAACACAAGUUGCGAAGGCGG